rnacentral:rRNA from 1 species
CAGCCGUAAACAAUGUGCGUUAGGUGUGUCGGUAACCACGUGUUACUGAUGCGCCGAAGAGAAAUCGUGAAACGCACCACCUGGGAAGUACGGACGCAAGGCUGAAACUUAAAGGAAUUGGCGGGGGAGCACCACAACAGGUGGAGCCUGCGGUUUAAUUGGAUUCAACGCCGGACAUCUCACCGGAUAAGACAGCUGAAUGAUUGUCAAUCUGAAGGUUUUACAUGACUAGCUGAGAGGAGGUGCAUGGCGUCAGUGACU